rnacentral:sRNA from 1 species
GCCAGGCGUUGUGGCGGGCGCCUGUAGUCCCAGCUACUUGGGAGGCUGAGGCAGGAGACUCGCUUGAGCCCAGGAGUUGGAGGUUGCUGUGAGCGUGAUGCCAUGGCACUCUACCCAGGGGGAUAGCUUGAGGCUCCGUCUCAAAAAAAAAAAAAAAAAAAAAAGAGACAGAGUCUCAGUUUGUUGCCCUUGGUAGAGUGCCAUGAGUGUCACAGCUCACAGCAACCUCCAGCUCUUGGGCUUAGGUAAUUCUCUUGCC